UCCGGGGUCGUCUAAUUGGCAGGACAGCGGUUUUUGGUGCCGUUUGUAGGGGUUCGAGUCCUCUCCCCGGAACCA
rnacentral:tRNA from 3 species